rnacentral:rRNA from 1 species
CGAUCCCUUCGGGGAUAGCGGCGGACGGGUGAGUAACGCGUGGGAAUAUGCCCUUUGGUACGGAACAACAGCUGGAAACGGCUGCUAAUACCGUAUGUGCCCUACGGGGGAAAGAUUUAUCGCCAAAGGAUUAGCCCGCGUCGGAUUAGAUAGUUGGUGAGGUAACGGCUCACCAAGUCGACGAUCCGUACCUGGUUUGAGAGGAUGAUCAGGCACACUGGGACUGAGACACGGCCCAG